GAGAAUUUGCUCUUUUAGUAUUUCUCCAGUAGGUUUCCUGAGGGAGAUAGCCUCC
ensembl:snRNA U7 U7 small nuclear RNA